AAUCACUAAGUAGGAGAGUUCACAAGUCACUUGCCAGAUUGGGUGAAAACUCCAGAGACCACUGACCACCCCUUGGGAAGUACUAGGUAAAUUGAAAGGCUGUAAUUGGUUCCCAUAAAGUGGAGGAAGGGACAGGAAGGGACAUGGAAAAAGAACUAUACAAAAAUUCCUGACUUUUCUGUCCAGGGGACCUUUGGCUUGGAUAUUGGACUUGUUUCUUUUUCUUUGGACUGCUCCUGAGACCCUUGGGACCUUCACUUUUUGAACUUCUUCCUGGAUCCUGUGUUGGCUUGCUGGGUGAAUCUUUUGUGGAGGAUUCCCCAUCCGCUAAGAGACUGGAGACCUUGCACUAGUUCUUGUGAUCUAAUUGCACACGUGUAGCAGUCAAACUGUCCAUCAUCUGCCUCAUUCUUCCUGAAUAACCAGCCUACCUUCUUU
rnacentral:lncRNA from 1 species